rnacentral:rRNA from 1 species
UGGGGAAUAUUGCACAAUGGAGGGAACUCUGAUGCAGCGACGCCGCGUGAACGAAGAAGGCUUUCGAGUCGUAAAGUUCUUUUAUAUGGGAAGAUAAUGACGGUACCAUAAGAAGAAGCCCCGGCUAACUACGUGCCAGCAGCCGCGGUAAUACGUAGGGGGCUAGCGUUGUCCGGAAUCACUGGGCGUAAAGGGUUCGCAGGCGGAAAUGCAAGUCAGGUGUAAAAGGCAGUAGCUUAACUACUGUAAGCAUUUGAAACUGCAUAUCUUGAGAAGAGUAGAGGUAAGUGAAAUUUUUAGUGUAGCGGUGAAAUGCGUAGAUAUUAAAAAGAAUACCGGUGGCGAAGGCGACUUACUGGGCUCAUUCUGACGCUGAGGAACGAAAGCGUGGGUAGCAAACAGG